rnacentral:rRNA from 1 species
GCUCAGAUGAACGCUUGCGGCAGGCCCUAACAACAUGCAAGUCGAGCGGAUGAGUGGAGCUUGCUCCCAUGAUUCAGCGGCGGAACGGGUGAGUAAUGCCUAGGAAUCUGCCUGGUAGUGGGGGACAACGUUUCGAAAGGAACGCUAAUACCGCAUACGUCCUACGGGAGAAAGUGGGGGAUCUUCGGACCUCACGCUAUCAGAUGAGCCUAGGUCGGAUUAGCUAGUUGGUGAGGUAAAGGCUCACCAAGGCGACGAUCCGUAACUGGUCUGAGAGGAUGAUCAGUCACACUGGAACUGAGACACGGUCCAGACUCCUACGGGAGGCAGCAGUGGGGAAUAUUCGGACAAUGGGCGAAAAGCCUGAUCCAGCCAAUGCCGGUGGUGGUUGGAAAGAAAGGUCUUCGGAUUGUAAAGCACUUUAAAGUUGGGAGGAAGGGCAGUAAGUUAAUACCUUGGUUGUUUUGACGUUUCAAAAGAAUAAGCACCGGGUUAAAUUCCGUGCCAGCA